CUGCAAUGAUGUGACUCUGACUGAAGUGACCUUAAAGUGCCAUUAUGUGAACUUUUUAACCCUGAGCAGA